rnacentral:rRNA from 2 species
UUACACAUGCAAGUCGAGCGGUAAGGCCCUUCGGGGUACACGAGCGGCGAACGGGUGAGUAACACGUGAGCAACCUGCCCCCGACUCCGGGAUAAGCGGUGGAAACGCCGUCUAAUACCGGAUACGACACACCGCCUCAUGGCGGUGUGUGGAAAGUUUUUCGGUCAGGGAUGGGCUCGCGGCCUAUCAGCUUGUUGGUGGGGUAACGGCCUACCAAGGCGAUUACGGGUAGCCGGCCUGAGAGGGCGACCGGCCACACUGGGACUGAGACACGGCCCAGACUCCUGCGGGAGGCAGCAGUGGGGAAUAUUGCGCAAUGGGCGAAAGCCUGACGCAGCGACGCCGCGUGGGGGAUGACGGCCUUCGGGUUGUAAACCUCUUUUACCACCAACGCAGGCUCCCAGUUCUCUCGGGGUUGACGGUAGGUGGGGAAUAAGGACCGGCUAACUACGUGCCAGCAGCCGCGGUAAUACGUAGGGUCCGAGCGUUGUCCGGAAUUAUUGGGCGUAAAGAGCUCGUAGGCGGCGUGUCGCGUCUGCUGUGAAAGACCGGGGCUUAACUCCGGUUCUGCAGUGGAUACGGGCAUGCUAGAGGUAGGUAGGGGAGACUGGAAUUCCUGGUGUAGCGGUGAAAUGCGCAGAUAUCAGGAGGAACACCGGUGGCGAAGGCGGGUCUCUGGGCCUUACCUGACGCUGAGGAGCGAAAGCAUGGGGAGCGAACAGGAUUAGAUACCCUGGUAGUCCAUGCCGUAAACGUUGGGCGCUAGGUGUGGGGACUUUCCACGGUUUCCGCGCCGUAGCUAACGCAUUAAGCGCCCCGCCUGGGGAGUACGGCCGCAAGGCUAAAACUCAAAGGAAUUGACGGGGGCCCGCACAAGCGGCGGAGCAUGUUGCUUAAUUCGACGCAACGCGAAGAACCUUACCAAGGUUUGACAUCGCCCGUGGACCUGUAGAGAUACAGGGUCAUUUAGUUGGUGGGUGACAGGUGGUGCAUGGCUGUCGUCAGCUCGUGUCGUGAGAUGUUG